rnacentral:rRNA from 1 species
GACGAACGCUGGCGGCGUGCUUAACACAUGCAAGUCGAGCGGUAAGGCUCCUUCGGGAGUACACGAGCGGCGAACGGGUGAGUAACACGUGAGCAAUCUGCCCUUCUCUUCGGAAUAACCAUUGGAAACGAUGGCUAAUGCCGAAUACGACCUCCCUUCGCAUGUGGGGAGGUGGAAAGCCCCGGCGGAGAAGGAUGAGCUCGCGGCCUAUCAGCUAGUUGGCGGGGUAACGGCCCACCAAGGCAACGACGGGUAGCCGGCCUGAGAGGGUGACCGGCCACACUGGGACUGAGACACGGCCCAGACCCCUACGGGAGGCAGCAGUGGGGAAUAUUGGACAAUGGGCGAAAGCCUGAUCCAGCAACACCGCGUGAGGGAUGACGGCCUUCGGGUUGUAAACCUCUUUCAGCAGGGACGAAGCGAAAGUGACGGUACCUGCAGAAGAAGGACCGGCCAACUACGUGCCAGCAGCCGCGGUAAGAC